rnacentral:rRNA from 1 species
AUUGAACGCUGGCGGCAGGCCUAACACAUGCAAGUCGAGCGGAUGAAGGGAGCUUGCUCCUGGAUUCAGCGGCGGACGGGUGAGUAAUGCCUAGGAAUCUGCCUGGUAGUGGGGGAUAACGUCCGGAAACGGGCGCUAAUACCGCAUACGUCCUGAGGGAGAAAGUGGGGGAUCUUCGGACCUCACGCUAUCAGAUGAGCCUAGGUCGGAUUAGCUAGUUGGUGGGGUAAAGGCCUACCAAGGCGACGAUCCGUAACUGGUCUGAGAGGAUGAUCAGUCACACUGGAACUGAGACACGGUCCAGACUCCUACGGGAGGCAGCAGUGGGGAAUAUUCGACAAUGGGCGAAAGCCUGAUCGAGCCAUGCCGCGUGUGUGAAGAAGGUCUUCGGAUUGUAAAGCACUUUAAGUUGGGAGGAAGGACAGUAAGUUAAUCCCUUGCUGUUUUGACGUUACCAACAGAGUAAGCACCGGCUAACUUCGUG